UCACAAAUUUAUCAUCUACAGUAAAUAUAAAUACAAUUAAUUUUUUCACAACUUCCACACUAACUUCGCAAUUCCUGUAUUCGACGUUAUAUCCAAAUCAAUUUCAAAACGAUAGUUUAAUGAUUAAUUUCAAUAUCCACCUAUUCGCCAAAGACAUUAAAUUUUUUUAAUAAGAUAUAUUCGUUCAAAAGCUCUUGAAUACUUUUAAAAUAGUAAUAUAUAAAAAAAAGAGAGAUUAAAAAUAAGAAUGUAACCCUAUUGAACUCAUUUCGUUCACGUUUAUCAAGCAAAUUAAUGUGAAUGAUAAACUUUCGGGCAAUUUUCUAUCAUUGAAUACACAUUUCACACUGUUUUCACAGCUAAGCCAUACAAAUCUGACAGAAUUACUUUGAACUGUCGAUUCACGCUUUCCUUCUUUCUUCUACUUCCUAAUCGUAUUCCUAAUUGAGCCUCUUUUUAAAUUACUUAUUUCUCAUCUUCCAAAAUAAAUAUACGAUAUGUAAACGAAGAAAUUCAUAUUAUGAAUCCGAAUAAUAUUCCAUAAGCAUAUAGGAGCGUAUUAUUUUUACACAACAUACUUGCAUCACUCGAUAAUUUGUCCUUCGCGUGAACUCGUUACAAUAUUUACUUACCAAAAUAAAGACAUUAUUUUUGCACUAUCGUUUGAUCGACAUUCUACGUUCGACAGCUCAUCAUGCGCGUCGCGUGGUAAUCGCGUCGCGCCGAUUCAGGAUCGAGAACGUUCAACGAAGGAUCAUUCCAACGUAAAAAUUGUCAUAUCGACGAACUGAGUUUUGACGCUUAAAGCUUUGUAGGUUCUCACGAAACUCAAGAUUUCUAUAAAUAUCGGCGCCUUGAAUACCGCCCGCCAUAACAUCUACUCUCUAGCGCUAUCUGUAUUAUGUGCUAUCCAGAUAAUUGACUAACCUCAAACGCGGGAAAUUUAAAAAUGUUUAAAAUUUGUAGAAUUUAAGCGAAUAUCCAGGAAUAAAGUAAGUUUUACAAUUGUUAGAUAUUACAAGAUAUUCGUAUAUAAGUAAAUUCAACCACGGAUAUUAAUAAGGUAAGUAGUAAAUUUUAUUACUCGUUGUGAAAUUAUUUGAGAAUUGUCAAUAGUCGAAAAGGACAGCAAUGCUUUCUUUGUUUAUCUCCAUGCAGGGAGCAACUCGGCAAGUUAAAAGUUACAAAAGACGAAGAUAAAGUUUUUUCUUUCAACGGUUAAUACUGCUCCUUUUACUUGUUUCGCUAAUAGUAUUUCUUUUAAAACAUAUAGAAUAUAUGAAAGAUACACACGAUUCUGUCUUUUACCGCCUGAUUAAGAUUUUAUUUACAUUUAAGAUAAAAUAGGUACUAUAACUGUAAUAAGAAUACAUUACUAUCCGUACAAUCUUUCAAUGAAUUAUCUUACGAUCACACUCGUAUGUUACAUAAUAGAGUAUAAUUACUAAUUAUACAUCUUAUUAUAAAAAAAAAAAGUAAUUUUUUG